rnacentral:lncRNA from 1 species
UCUGCUCGAAAGUGUCCAGCUGCCCAUUCCCUCUAAAGUGACGUCUGUAUCACUUCUGCUCGAAAGUGUCCAGCUGCCCAUUCCCUCUGAAGUGACGUCUGUAUCACUCCUGCUCGAAAGUGUCCAGCUGCCCAUUCCCUCUGAAGUGACGUCUGUAUCACUUCUGCUCGAAAGUGUCCAGCUGCCCGUUCCCUCUAAAGUGACGUCUGUAUCACUUCUGCUCGAAAGUGUCCAGCUGCCCGUUCCCUCUGAAAUGACAUCUGUAUCACUUCUGCUCGAAAGUGUCCAGCUGCCCGUUCCCUCUGAAAUGACGUCUGUAUCACUCCUGCUCGAAAGCAUCCAGCUGCCCAUUCCCUCUGAAAUGACAUCUCCAUCACUCCUGCUUGAAAGCUCUCUCUGACACCUUCAAGGAGGCACAAUAAAGAAUAUUUUAUAAAACAGUAGUUCAGGAAGAUGAUAUAAGCAGAAUCCCAGUGACAGCAGGAAAAUCCUGACCAGAGGAAUCCGAACAAAAUCCAAACAUAUCCGGUUGUGAUGGUCGCCCCAUUGCGUAUAGAGGAAAUGGAGGAAAACUUGGAAGUACCGCCUUCCAUACAAAGUCAAGGAUCGAGACCUUCCUCUCCGCGUUCCAGAAUCCCUCAGGAAAUACGCGCGUGCCUUCGCAUCUAGAGCAAGCGCUGCAAGAAUUCACAGAACGGCCAGAAGUUCCCCAUCCCGCUGGUGGCACUCACUGCGUUAGGCGCUCAGCCUCCAGUCCGGGCCGCUUUGGCUUGAAGACGGCCGUUUUCCUUCCUGAUACCUGCUUCUAGUCUUUCUGCAACUUCUGGAUUCCUGUCAUUCUUAUACCUGCUCUGGGCAGCCUUCCAUUCAUUCUGCGAAUUCCGUGAAGCUUUUCAAUAAAUUGCUUUUCUCCAAUUAGCCUAAAUCUCUUUCAGUUAUUGGCAGCCCAGUGCCCUGACCCAGCCAAGCACUGUAGACAGU